GUCUAUAUACGUAUAGCAUAUCAAUAAGCGGAGGAAAAGAAACUAACUAGGAUUCCCUCAGUAACGGCGAGUGAAGCGGGAAGAGCUCAAAUUUUGAAAUCUUCAAGGUUCUACCUUGACGAAUUGUAGUUUAAAGAAGUGUUUUCUGUUGGAGUUUUGGUAAAAGUUCUUUGGAAUAGGACAUCAUAGAGGGUGAGAAUCCCGUAUUUGACCAUUAUUUCCAACUUUGUGAUACACUUUCAAAGAGUCGGAUUGUUUGGGAAUGCAGUCCAAAAUGGGUGGUAAAUUCCAUCUAAAGCUAAAUACUGGCGAGAGACCGAUAGCGAACAAGUACCGUGAGGGAAAGAUGAAAAGAACUUUGAAAAGAGAGUUAAACAGUACGUGAAAUUGUCAAAAGGGAAGCGUUUGACACCAGUGUUGUUUUCUCGAAAAUCAAUUAAAAAUGAUGGGAUUUUGUGUUGUAUUGACUUUAUCAGCUUUCUGCACUUUUUUCCUUAUCUUUUUUAGUGCACUUUUCGUUUAACAAGUCAACAUCAAUUUCUUUUGUUGUAAAAGAGGUCAUUGGAAGGUGGCUUUCUUUUCGGAGAAAGUGUUUAUAGCCUUUGGACUUCCUGCAGUCGGAGAGAUUGAGGUCUGCAGCGUAGAUCCUUCGGGAUUAGAUACAUUUGUGCUAAGUUAUAGCCUUUUCAUAGACAACUUGUUGACUAUAUCUAGUCAUGUAACUUACUCGCUUAUGCUAAUUUUACCUACGCUUAGGAUGUUGACGAUCAGCUGAGCGCG
rnacentral:rRNA from 1 species